CGAAAACCUAUCAUACAAUUAAAACCCUUGUUCAAAUUAUUAUUCACUAUAAUACUAUGGCCGAAUCCCUCAAUUAGCUAACAUAGCCUCUUGUUUUCAAUCUAAACACGUAUAUACAACCUAAAUCCCUCUUUUAACACAUAAUUCACUAUCUUGGAACUCAUUUCCUAACUAAUUUAACUUAGUCCAAAGCCGAAUGCUAUUUGAGCAUUAAGCUCAUGUUCUUUUCAUUAUUAAGCAAGUAUUAUAACUCAACUAACUUCAUUAGCCGACUACUCAAGCUCAUUUGAGCCACAUAUAGUAAUUUAGUUUGUUUAUACUCAAUUAGAAACAUUUCU
rnacentral:lncRNA from 1 species